UACGUAGGGUGCAAGCGUUAAUCGGAAUUACUGGGCGUAAAGCGUGCGCAGGCGGUCUGUUAAGUCAGCUGUGAAAUCCCCGGGCUCAACCUGGGAAUGGCAGUUGAGACUGGCAGGCUGGAGUGUGUCAGAGGGGGGUGGAAUUCCACGUGUAGCGGUGAAAUGCGUAGAGAUGUGGAGGAACACCAGUGGCGAAGGCGGCUUCCUGGCCUGUAACUGACGCUGAGGCGCGAAAGCGUGGGGAGCAAACAGG
rnacentral:rRNA from 1 species